GAUCAGCACCUCGGAGACAACAAAGCUACGAUUUUGUUUCACCACGAUCAACCACGGAUUCACGACAAAAUCCAAACUUUCUCUCCAACAGAAGAAACUACGCACAAAAUACAUAUAAAACACGUAUUUUUGGAUUUUCUCGAAAUCCGUGCGUCAAACUCAGAAUCCGUCAGCGCCAUUAGUUCCAGAACAGCUGAACCGGUCGAAACGAGCUAUUGGACCGCUAGGAACGGAGUCCGAUACGAGCUGAAAGCCAACUUCACACCGUGGCUUCUCCGGAAAAUCGAGUUACUAUUCACUUUAAGUGAAACUUGGAAAUCGCGUAGAAUCUCCGUUUUAACUCGAUUUCUCCCGAAAUUUGACGAGUGCUUUUGUAAUUAAAUUACACACAAAAACAUCGUCAACAGAGAGUUUAGUUGCACAGUCAAAAUCUCAGUCCUUACAAAAAUCGACCGUCAUGUCGCUAAACUGAGCAUCUCAAUUUGAUCCCGACCGACCACCAAAUCAUAUUAAUAAAAUUUUAUUUGCCUGUUUUGUCUUAUUUAUUAUUAGCAUUUAUAAUUAGUCUCUUAAUCGAGGGUUCCUUAACAACGAAAGUGUGGGAUAAUUAACAGCAGAUUCUUAAGUCUGUUGGAAGCCAUGAGCCUAUAAUCCUGAUUUCAAAAUAAAACUUAAGUAAACUCAACCUCUACCAUGAAUGACCACUCGCCUUAGAAACAACCUACGGCGGGGCCGGUUCGUUCGCGGCAGACAGGCCACUCAAGUGGAUCUUUAUGAUUUCUCACUAAUAUUUUGCCUUCAUAGUAAUUUAAUUCUCCAUACUUAGCUUUCAAACUAGUGAUCUUUAUCAUACAUAUUAAAUAUUAUUAAAUAAAUAUUUACUAUUACUAUUUACAACAUUAUCAUACAUAUUAACAUAUAUUUACUAUUUACUAUUUACAUUAUUAUAUAUUUAUUAUCAAAAUUAUCAUACAUUUACUAUAAACAUUAUCAUAUAUUUAUUACCAAUAUUGUCAUACAUUUAUACUAUUUACUAUUAUCAUACAUAUUAAAUUUUACUAAACAGAUAUUUAUAAGUCAG
rnacentral:lncRNA from 1 species